AUGGGCGAGUAAACCAAACCCUUCAGUAUUGCUAUUUUGUAAUAACCUGUAGCCACCGGUGAGAUCAAUUUCAGGACGUGAGCAAUCACAAGAGGAAAUCGGAGAAGAGGAUCUCUGUAAUCUGAGGAGGAAGACGCUCUUCCUUUUCCUCUUCUGUUUCUCUUUCUCAAUUUAUCGUUCGAUGGAUAUGCCUAGCAGCUGUUUUAUAGUCCUGGUCCUGGACUGUGACUCGGCAAAUGGGCUUGACAAUCUUGCACUUCUCUUGGAUCCUGGCAUCAUCAUUGGGGUCAUGACAUUACCGCCGCCGCGAAACACAGCUUGUCCCUAAGCUGGCAAGCUAUCGUAUUCAGGAAUUGCUUGAACACAACAUCAUAGCAUCUGGUCCACCAAUAACUCCCAUUGCAGCACUUGCACUCGCACCCAAUCCAUUGCAUGAUAUCAAGUUGCAUAAUACCUGGAUCCCACUGCCUUCGAAUUGAAGAGACUAGUUUCUGUACCAGUUCACGGUAUCUCAUUCCAAUAGAACAUCUUAAUUGGAAGUAUAUAGCAGCCAACCAGCCACCACUAUCGACGAAGACACCACCCUGAUAACGAUCAAUUUCUGGAAAAUAUUGUAAUUUUUAAGUCUGCGAAUCUCCAGGUCCCAUGAUAGAAUUUCACAGAAAUCCUAAGCACGACCACCAACUGUCAGUGUCAUACCCAUGAUCAUAUCAGUUCCAUAGGAUACUCUCCAAAUUGGACCAGCCAAAGAACCAUUGCAAAAAAGAAGUAAUAUAAUAGAACCUUAUGGUAGUCCACCCAUGCAAUGUACAGAUCAUGUUUGGCCAAACAAAUGAGGUCCUGCAACUUCUGCCCUCUAAGCAUAUCUAUCUUCACUGAUCUGUGUUCAUGUUGCAGCUCCCAUUCUCCGGGGCUGAAACCAUUUCUUCUCCAUGAAGGACUUUUGUCAAAAAACAAAUGAGCAUGGUGGCAUUUCAGCUAUCACAUAGUGAGCCCUACCUUUUUCUUGCCUCUCAUCAAAGAUCACCAGGUUCGAUGGUCACAAUUCAUCUCCUGCCCAACACAUGCUUCAUAAAGGACAAGGAAUAAAUUAUCCUAGCUGCGUUGGUCAAGACAUUAUGGAGAGAAGUAAUCAGCACCAUACUCCGAGCAUAUAGAGAGCAGCACCAUACCAAAACCAGCUCCAUGUUCUCCCAGAUGCAAGUUCCCAUUGGAUUUGCCAUCAUCAACCACCUUGAGCUCAGCAUCUCAUCCACAUCCUGUAUAACAGUUGGCUUUGUAUCCUGUUUGGUCACAUAAUCACUGCCGAGUGCUAAUUUUUGCAACACCUCCUCAUGUGUGUCAAGGUCAGAUGACAUGUCCUCGUCCCAUACAACAUCCUUGUGAGGCAUUUCAUCAAACUCCAGUCCUGCAUCGCUCUCUAUCAGCAUUGGGUGAACCUUCUUGCACUACAUUUGGUCGUCCACCCCAUGAGCUAGCUGCUGCAACAAACCAUCCUGGGAGUCAAUGUGUUGCAACAAUUUUGCAUCCACACCCAACGCUAGUUGCUGCAAUAGACUUUCAUGUGUGUUAAUGCUAUCUUGCAUCUCCUCAUCCCAUGUAAUCUUAAGAGGCAUUGCAUCGAACAAGGGGUGCACGCUUCCCUGUUGUGGCAUUCCAACAAACACCUUGGAGGCAUAACGCAGAGUAGGUGCUUGCUGCAGCAAAUUGAUGCCACCCUCACUCGAAAUCACCUCACCUGGUAAUUGUGGAGGAUGACAGCACCCCACCAAGACCUCCUCACGCUGCCCAAUUGACCACAUCUGAUCUAGGUGCUUUUCGCAGUCACGAAUUCCAUCUGCUUCAUGAACUGCCACUGGUUUGUUCCAACCCGUGCGGGGCCUUCUGCUCUCCAUCACACACCACUCCGACUGCACUGCCGUCACACCCAUCGCCUCCUAUGAGAAGAUUCAAAGUCUACUGCCGCCUUGCGCCGCACCAAUCGCCAAAAUCAGACCAGGAAGAAAAGGGGAAAGAUUCGCAGUUGCUUGCACCGCAAAUCCAGCCAGCGUGGGAAAGGGAUUAGAGGAAAAUAAAUGUGCCCAGGUGCUGCGCUGGAACACUUCAAUCUCACCCAACCAAUCCCGUUUGCCUAUGAAUUUGGCUCGCCAACCUACGAACUUCGCCCUGAUAACUGACCUCCGAUACCACUAUAACAACCCGUAGUCACCGGUGAGAUCAAUUCCGGGACGUGAGCAAUCACAAGAGGAAUUCGGAGAAGGGGAUCUCCGUAACCUGAGGAGGAAGACGCUCUUCCUUUUCCUCUUCUGUUCUCUUUCUCAAUUUCUCGUUCGAUAAAUAUGCCUAGCAGUUGUUUUGUAGUCUUGGUCUUAGCUCUGACUCGGCAAAUGGGUUUGACAAUUUUGGAUUUCUCUUAGAUCAUGGCAUUAUUAUUGGGGAAACCUUCUUACCUUUGUAUCUCAUUGCACAGAACACAAAGGCUGGCAGAUUCAGGAAACACAACCCUGCCAUGAUCAGUAGAGUCGAUCCAAAUGCCCUUCAUUCAUAGAAUCGAUCCAAAUGCCCUUCAUUCAAGUUAUCAGGUAUCCACCUCGGACUGCCUCCUCCGACAGUGAACACAGGCACAAGAGAAACGAUGAACACAUAACCUAUUUGCCUAUUCAUCAACCCCAACUCAAAGAUUACAGUAAAUCAGGCAAAUUAAAGCGGCAACGGCAACGGGCGAUUGCUGCGGCGGCGACGCGGUUGGCGAUUCCUGCGGCGCGACGCGGCGGGCGAUUCCUGCGGCGGCGACGCGGCGGGCGGCUGCCGAGGCCUCAGACGCGACGGCGACGGCCCCACGCCGCUCUCCCUUCAGGUUGCUUUCCAACGGAUAAGUACUUUUCAAUAGGGUCUUAUUGAACAACAAAAGAUAUUCUUAGCUACCAAUCACGGUAGUCCAAAUCAUACGAGGAACUAGAAGUGAAAAAUACACAGCUAAAGAUUGGUUAUGUGAAGUUUGUGGGAAUUUCAACAAGGUCAACCAUUUCUUGAUUUUUUAUCUCCCAUUCUUCCAUUGUGGAAUGUGCAAGAAAAUGUACAAUGGUAUUGUUUACUUUAACUUGGUUGACGUCGAAGUCAAUGGGAAGUCUAUUUUACCAGAAGUAAAACAUCAAAGAAGGCGGCUGGAAUGUACUUCUUAUGCAUUCGCACAUGCUCAGGAGCUCAAUGACAUUGUGGAAAAUAUUAUCUUAGAUGAUGGUUCUCCUAUUGAUGCUGUGGAUCCUAUGAUACUAGCUGAUACCUACAAUAUGAUGUUUGGUGAAAAAAAAACAGAGUAGGGUAUUCUGGCCCGCACAAAAUGCUUUAUAAGGUCUCAUUCUGAAAGAGUAUAGUCGGAGAACUGUGAAGGACACAGAAAGAUCAACACAUUCAGAUGUUACUGCUGUGAGUUUGGGUAAAGUGGAGCAUAUCUGUCAGUGUAGAGGAGCGGGCAGCAACGGCGGGCCAGCCGGCGGCGGCGUGGCCGAGUUCCCAGCGACCUGGGCAAGGAUAAACAAAACCAGAGGGAGCACCAUGAGGAGGAUGAAGAGGCGAACCCAUUUUUGUGGUUAGCUCAUGUAGAGGAGGUCGGGAGGUAGAUGCUCACCGUGGAGGUCAAGGUGGCGUCUAGGGUUCGUUGGCGGGGAGCUCCUUCGGCGCUUGGCUGGCAUGGCUGGUUGGUUGGGGAGGUUGGGGAGCUCACGCUAGCUCCUGGUGCAACCAAUCGGAGGAGGAUGGUGGCUUCGGUAGGGUGAAUUUGGGAAUGGGGCGGAGCUCGGGCAUGGGGCUGCCAUGGCGGCCGGCGGCACUCUAGCGCAGGCGCGGUGGUGAUGGGAGGCCGCGCGGGAGGUGAAAGAAGCGCGGGAAGAGGAGCGCGGGAGGAGAAAGAGGCACGCGCGGAGCGGAUGGCGAGGCGCGUGCGCUCGGCAAAGAUAGCCAGCAGAGGUCCGGGGAUGCUGAGCGCGAUACAUUGGCGAGGACGAAAGCUGAGUCCGUUGGAUGGCCUUUUCACCAGUUUUUAUUUUUUUACCUAACCAAGUCCAUUUAGCUAAUCUGUUGGAGUUGCUCUUAGAUGAGUUUAUAUAGCAACAAAUACCAUGGGUGUCAAAACAAACUGAGUAGAGAUUCAAUCACCCAAAACCAUUCAUUGUGCUCUCAUUUCAGGUGCAUAUACUGCUAGUUGGAAAGCGAGUUUGCAAGCUACUAUUACUUUAUCUACCACUGAAGCCCAGUACAUGACUAUUUCUGAGGCACUCAAAGAACCAAUUUGGUUGAAAAGUUUGUACAUUGAGUGUUAUGGUGAUACUUCUCGUAUCACUAUAUUUUGUGAUAGUCAAAGUGCUAUAUACCUUACAAAGCAUCAUGUUCCACGAGAGAACAAAGCAUAUUGAUGUUAGACAUCACUAUAUUCAAGGUGUUAUGGCCCAAGGUAGUAUUAAAGUAUGCAAGGU